UCUAUAACAGCCAGGAUGUUGGCUUGGAAGCAGCCAUUCAUUUAAAGAGUGCGUAACAGCUCACUGGUCGAGAGAUCCUGCACGGAAAAUAAUCGGGCAUCAAACUACGAACCGAAGUUCUAAAUUCUAGCUUGCUAGAGUGGUAGGGGAGCAUUGAAAUCUGCACAGAAGGUGUAUCGCGAGAUAUGCUGGAGCGAUUUCAAAAGAAAAUGUAGGCAUAAGUAACGAUAAUUAAAGUGAAAAACUUUAACGCGAAAAGUCUAAGGUUUCCUGAUCAACGUUAAUCGGAUCAGGGUUAGUCUGGUCCUUAGGAAAACCCGAAAGGGGCAUCUGAUGGAAAGAAGGUUAAUAUUCCUUCACCUACUAUGCAAUAAAAGUGACGCAGGGACGUGGUGGUUGCGUACGGACGGAAGUGUACGCCUGAGUGGAGUCUUCGGACGAAGCGAAAUCAUAAAAUCCCUGCCAAGAAAAGCGAGCAUAGCAGCCAGUACCGGAAUCCGACACAGGUAGACGGGAUGAGUAUUCUAACGCGCUCGGGUGAGCCGUGGAGAAGGAACUAGGCAAAUUAACGCUGUAACUUCGGGAUAAAGCGUACCAUCGCGAGAUGGUCACAGUAAAAUGGUACAACCAACUGUUUAACAAAAACACAGGGCCCUGCAAAAACGUAAGUUGACGUAUAGAGCCUGAAACCUGCCCGGUGCUGGAAGGUUAAGGAAGGGUGUUCGGCGCAAGCCAAAGCUCCUGACUGAAGCCCCAGUAAACGGCGGCCGUAACUAUAACGGUCCUAAGGUAGCGAAAUUCCUUGUCGGGUAAGUUCCGACCUGCACGAAUGGUCUAAUGAGUUGUACACUGUCUCCUCCACGAGCCCGGUGAAAUUGUAGUAUCGGUGAAGAUGCCGGUUACCCGCCACGGGACGGAAAGACCCCGUGAACCUUCACUACAACUUUGCAUUGAUUUUGAGCAACAAAUGUGUAGGAUAGUUGGGAGACUUUGAAGCAGCAUCGCCAGGUGUUGUGGAGUCAUCGUUGAAAUACCAACCUUUUGUUGCUUAGAACCUAACCCUGAACAAGGGGACAUUGCAUGGUGGGUAGUUUGACUGGGGUGGUCGCCUCCUAAAAAGUAACGGAGGCUCGCAAAGGUACCCUCAGUACGGUUGGUAAUCGUACGCAGAGCGCAUUAGUAAAAGGGUGCUUGACUGUGAGACAAACACGUCGAGCAGGAGCGAAAGCUGGCUAAAGUGAUCCGGUGGUUCUGUAUGGAAGGGCCAUCGCUCAAAGGAUAAAAGGUACUCCGGGGAUAACAGGCUGAUCUUACCCAAGAGCUCAUAUCGACGGUAAGGUUUGGCACCUCGAUGUCGGUUCGUCACAUCCUGGGGCUGGAGAAGGUCCCAAGGGUUCGGCUGUUCGCCGAUUAAAGUGGCACGUGAACUGGGUUCAGAACGUCGCAAGACAGUUCGGUCCCUA
rnacentral:rRNA from 1 species